AACGAACGCUGGCGGCAUGCCUAACACAUGCAAGUCGAACGCGUGUAGCAAUACACGAGUGGCGCACGGGUGAGUAACGCGUGGGAACCUGCCCUUGAGUUCGGAAUAACCCGGCGAAAGUCGGGCUAAUACCGGAUACGUCCCCGAGGAACCGUGAGGAGAAAGAUUUAUCGCUCGAGGAGGGGCCCGCGUCGGAUUAGCUAGUUGGUGGGGUAAUGGCCCACCAAGGCGACGAUCCGUAGCUGGUCUGAG
rnacentral:rRNA from 1 species